ACAGACAAAUGCUUUUUGUCCUGUAUGAAUUAUCAUGUUGCCCUUCUGUUUCUGUCUUUUACUCUGAUCAGAACAGCUAAAUUGUUUUCUUUUUGCUUGACUCUCCUUUUCUUGCUCUGAAUUGUUAACAUGACCAGAUGCUUUUACAUAUUGAGA